ACGAACGUUGGCGGCGUGUUUAAGGCAUGCAAGUCGAGGGACGGCACUUCUUCGGAAGUGUACGGACCGGCAGACGGGUGCGUAACACAUUGGUAACCUACCUCUUAGUCGGGCAUAGCUCGCCGAAAGGCGAAUUAAUACCCGAUGGUCAUGGGGGGACGCAAGUCACACCCAUGUAAAGAUUUAUCGCUAAGAGAGGGGCCUAUGGUCUAUCAGCUAGUUGGUGAGGUAAUGGCUCACCAAGGCAACGACGGAUAGGGGACGUGAGAGCGUGAUCCCCCUCACUGGGACUGAGACACUGCCCAGACUCCUACGGGAGGCUGCAGUCAAGAAUAUUCGGCAAUGCACGAAAGUGUGACCGAGCGACGCCGCGUGCAGGAAGAAGCCCUUCGGGGUGUAAACUGCUUUUCCGAGGGAAGAAUUUGUGACGGUACUUCGGGAAUAAGAGGUUGCUAACUCUGU
rnacentral:rRNA from 1 species